AGGGGAUACAAGAUGAAACGGAGCACAACACAUUCCAACCAAGACACCUCCUAUCUUAAGGGAAAGGAAUGGAACUCAAGCAAAUAAAAUGGCAAGGCAGAUGAGCUCAAGGAGCAUAUUUGAUGCGGCUUUUUUCUAUUGAGGUUAUCCCCAGUCCGCUGACUUCUGUGAUGAUAUAAUAAGACGAACACGGGAUUUUCCUAAAAGAGUAAUCAAAGCAGCAUUUAACAAAUACAUAUACAACAAAAUAGUAAGAAAAGAAGAAAGAAAUUAGAAAACAAGACCAAAAAAGAAAGAAAGAAAGAAAGAAGAGAGAAAGGAAGGAAAGAAGGAAGGAAGAAAUUAGAAAGCAAGACCAAGGAAAGGAGAAGAUGUGUGUGUUCCUUUAUGGUGACUUUCUCCACAUGCCUUUCAACACCUUCCAUCUGUAGAGAAGCCAACCUGCUCAAGUCAAUACUUGUCAUCCUCGAGAUGAAGCCCACAGGGCUCACCCUCCUUCUAACUCUGCCAGGAGACCAAGUCCUUCCGGCUGUCAAUUAACCACUAUCAACGCCUAGAUCUGUCAGGAAAGUGUUAUCUGGCUGCGGGCAUGACAGAAAGAAAAAGGAAGCAAGAGGAGUCAGCUAGAGAGAAAGAAAGAAAGAUAAGAAGGUGUUGGAUUACUGAAACUUCAUUUCACUUCAAAGAUUUCCACAAGAACAAAACAACAAAACAGAAAUGCACGCACAAAGAUAAUAAAAAU
rnacentral:lncRNA from 1 species